rnacentral:rRNA from 1 species
GGAGGCAGUGGCAGACGGGUGAGUAACGCGUGGGAAUCUACCUAGUUCUACGGAACAACAGAGGGAAACUUCUGCUAAUACCGUAUACGCCCUACGGGGGAAAGAUUUAUCGGAAUUAGAUGAGCCCGCGUAAGAUUAGCUAGUUGGUGGGGUAAUGGCCUACCAAGGCGACGAUCUUUAGCUGGUCUGAGAGGAUGAUCAGCCACACUGGGACUGAGACACGGCCCAGACUCCUACGGGAGGCAGCAGUGGGGAAUAUUGGACAAUGGGCGCAAGCCUGAUCCAGCCAUGCCGCGUGAGUGAUGAAGGCCUUAGGGUUGUAAAGCUCUUUCAGUAGGGAAGAUAAUGACGGUACCUACAGAAGAAGCCCCGGCUAACUUCGUGCCAGCAGCCGCGGUAAUACGAAGGGGGCUAGCGUUGUUCGGAUUUACUGGGCGUAAAGCGCACGUAGGCGGGUUGUUAAGUCAGGGGUGAAAUCCUGGAGCUCAACUCCAGAACUGCCUUUGAUACUGGCAAUCUAGAGUCCGGAAGAGGUGAGUGGAACUCCUAGUGUAGAGGUGGAAUUCGUAGAUAUUAGGAAGAACACCAGUGGCGAAGGCGGCUCA